CUUAGGGCUCUGGCCUUUCCCACCGCAUGACUCCACCCCCUGGACUUGGAGGGCUCUAGGACCCAGCAACCUGUGGAGGGUGGAGAGUGUGUGAGGUCCUGACCUCCAGGUGCCUCCCCUCUUUUCCUCCCCCCAUUUCCUCUUGUCUCUCCUCCCUUCCUUUCUCUCCCUUCUUCUCCCCUCUCUUUAUCCUUCCUCUUCCUUCGGCUCCCCGCCUCUGCUUCCCUCCUCUCCUGUCCUUUCCUAUCCCGUCCCCCCUCAGCCCCCAUCCCGCUCCUCCCACCCCGGUGGUCACAUGGGGGCGCCCCGGGAUUUAAGCUUAAUCUGCCUGGUGCUCAGCACAGCAGCCUGGCUGUGGCGCGUGCUGACUGAGCUAGUCUUGGGGUCCUGGGGAAGGGGGCUGGAAGAGUGCCCACAGCCUCCCCCCCAUGAGCUUGGGGCUGGCGGGGGCACAGGACGUCGAGCUGACACUAGAGACGGUUAUCCAGACACUGGAGAGCAGCGUCCUGUGCCAGGAGAAGGGCUUGGGCACGCGGGACCUGGCCCAGGAUGCUCAGACCACCAGCCUGCCUGCCCGCAUCAGGGAGAUUGUCACCCACAACCUCUCCCGGCCUGA
rnacentral:lncRNA from 1 species